rnacentral:rRNA from 1 species
AGUGAACGCUGGCGGUAGGCCUAACACAUGCAAGUCGAACGGCAGCACAGAGGAGCUUGCUCCUUGGGUGGCGAGUGGCGGACGGGUGAGGAAUACAUCGGAAUCUACUCUGUCGUGGGGGAUAACGUAGGGAAACUUACGCUAAAACCGCAUACGACCUACGGGUGAAAGCAGGGGAUCUUCGGACCUUGCGCGAUUGAAUGAGCCGAUGUCGGAUUAGCUAGUUGGCGGGGUAAAGGCCCACCAAGGCGACGAUCCGUAGCUGGUCUGAGAGGAUGAUCAGCCACACUGGAACUGAGACACGGUCCAGACUCCUACGGGAGGCAGCAGUGGGGAAUAUUGGACAAUGGGCGCAAGCCUGAUCCAGCCAUACCGCGUGGGUGAAGAAGGCCUUCGGGUUGUAAAGCCCUUUUGUUGGGAAAGAAAUCCAGCCGGCUAAUACCUGGUUGGGAUGACGGUACCCAAAGAAUAAGCACCGGCUAACUUCGUGCCAGCAGCCGCGGUAAUACGAAGGGUGCAAGCGUUACUCGGAAUUACUGGGCGUAAAGCGUGCGUAGGUGGUUAUUUAAGUCCGUUGUGAAAGCCCUGGGCUCAACCUGGGAACUGCAGUGGAUACUGGAUGACUAGAAUGUGGUAGAGGGUAGCGGAAUUCCUGGUGUAGCAGUGAAAUGCGUAGAGAUCAGGAGGAACAUCCAUGGCGAAGGCAGCUACCUGGACCAACAUUGACACUGAGGCACGAAAGCGUGGGGAGCAAACAGG